CUGGUUUCGAGCCAUCCCGGAAGACUUCAAUAGGAGGCGCCGUUUCUCGGGAGGACCAGUGGGAAAGCGUCAGGUGUCAUCGAGGUGACAGCAGCAGUCUCACAAUGCCCAGCCUUUGCGCUCUCCAUCAGAAAGCCAUCAGGGGCAAACCACUUAUGUUUGCCUUCAGACAAGUGGUUGAUGUCAUGUUCAACGCUGUUGUGAAGACAACAUUGAAGCAAGAUUCCAGCAUAGCCAUGCGCUGCACACUCAGACAAUGGAGUCCCUGUUCCUCGUGGUUAACCGUGAAUAGUAUUCGCGCUUUUAUGAAAGUCAAAGGUGAUUUGCUGCAUAAAUUAACAUGUUUGCAGCUCAAACGUACACACAUUAUUUCUAAUUUUGAAACAACGAAUAUACCCUGUUAAAUAUUAUUCUACUGUUUGAUGCAAUCAUUUCUUGCUGGAGAAUAUUAAGUGUGAUGUUGAACUUGUACUUAUUGAUGACUGGCUAUUGCAUGACUGCCUGUGUUUAAUAAAAUGUGAACUCACGCAUUUGAAGCUUCAUUCAGUAACCAGAGUAUUGUAUGGCUGAUUUAAUAAACAUUGUUUGCUCAUUUAUGUACUCAGAUGCUACAAGCCAUAAUCUUGCAUUACCGCACCAACUACAAAUAAUUUAAAAAUUGGCAAUGUAUUUUAACUCGCUUCAUCCACCUGUUGUAGCCAGCAGAGUACAUUAAUGAACAAUGGUUUUUUGUUUUUAUAGGGUCCCCAUUGAUACUUCUCUUUCCACCUAAACAGUAGUAAAUGUGGAAUAUUUCGGCUUUUGUUUUGCAGUAGAAAACGAGCGCCUUUUCAAGCGACAGAUUUUAUAACAGACCAUGUAGUGCCUUCAAAUUACAAACAUUUAAGGAAACUAGAAUUGUUAUUGAAAAAUCUGCUACACACCACUUUUAGCCCAGAGAAGUCUCCCUAUUCUCGUAAGAAAAAAAAAUAGGUGCAAAAAAUUCAGAAGUUCAUAACAAUAAUCGCGCAAACCUUAUUUAAAGCAAGUUCAUGUGUGGAAAAUAUUGUUUCAGUCUAUCAAAAAUAUUGGCGAGUCAAGCUUUACAUCGAAUUUCCAAAUGAACUUUUGAGAAUGCUUUGCUAUGACAUUGGUGUACAAAAUAACAGGUGUGCUUCUUGUAAUGUGCUUGCUCUACAUUUCAUGUACUUCCCUAAUUGACCUUUGCCAUAUAACAUUUUUUUCAAGGCCAUCGAAACUUGAAUUUGUACUUGCAAUUUAAUGCUAAAAAUGCAUUCCUUUAAGUGGCACAAUACACUUCAAGUCAAACUCGGGCUCUUUCAGUGUUAACAUAUAGUUUCUCGUUAUAUAAGGACAGAUUUGAUGAGUUCUUGUAGUUGAAAAUAAUAAUUUUGUAGGAAGUGUACAUUUCACAUUUACAAAUGUUUUUGGUGAUUAUUGCACACGUUUAGGU